AUCUUGACCUCAGAUCAGGCAAGGCUACCCGCUGAAUUUAAGCAUAUUAAUAAGCGGAGGAAAAGAAACUAACAAGGAUUCCCUCAGUAACAGCGAGUGAAGCGGGAACAGCUCAAAUUUGAAAUCUCCGRCGCUUGCGUCGGCGAGUUGUAGUUGCGAGAAGCACUUUCUAGGCGGAUCGGUGGUGCYUAAGUUGCUUGGAACAGUACGUCAUAGAGGGUGACAACCC
rnacentral:rRNA from 1 species